rnacentral:misc_RNA from 1 species
UACAGAGGGUGCGAGCGUUAAUCGGAUUUACUGGGCGUAAAGCGUGCGUAGGCGGCUUUUUAAGUCGGCUGUGAAAUCCCUGAGCUUAACUUGGGAAUUGCAUUCGAUACUGGGAAGCUAGAGUAUGGGAGAGGAUGGUAGAAUUCCAGUUGUGGCGGUGAAAUGCGUAGAGAUCUGGAGGAAUACCGAUGGCGAAGCCAGCCAUCUGGACUAAUACUGACUCUGAGGUACGAAAGCAUGGGGAGCCAACAGG